GACAGAGGGUGCAACCGUUGUUCGGAAUUACUGGGCGUAAAGCGUGUGUAGGCUGCUCCGAUAGUCGGAUGUGAAAGCCCUGGGCUCAACCUAGGAAGUGCAUUCGAUACUCCGGAGCUUGAGUCCUGGAGAGGAAGGCGGAAUUCUCGGUGUAGAGGUGAAAUUCGUAGAUAUCGAGAGGAACACCGGUGGCGAAGGCGACUUACUGGACACAUAUUGACGCUGAGGUGCGAAAGCGUGGGGAGCAAACAGG
rnacentral:rRNA from 1 species